rnacentral:rRNA from 1 species
GGGUUGUGAGGUUAAGUGACUAAGCGUACACGGUGGAUGCCUAGGCAGUCAGAGGCGAUGAAGGGCGUGCUAAUCUGCGAAAAGCGUCGGUAAGGUGAUAUGAACCGUUAUAACCGGCGAUACCCGAAUGGGGAAACCCAGUGUGUUUCGACACACUAUCAUGUCAUGAAUACAUAGUGGCAUGAGGCGAACCGGGGGAACUGAAACAUCUAAGUACCCCGAGGAAAAGAAAUCAACCGAGAUUCCCCCAGUAGCGGCGAGCGAACGGGGAGGAGCCCAGAACCUGAAUCGGCUUGUGUGUUAGUGGAAGCGUCUGGAAAGUCGCGCAGCAAAGGGUGAUAGCCCCGUACACUAAAAUGCACAGGUCGUGAGUUCGAUGAGUAGGGCGGGACACGUGACAUCCUGUCUGAAUAUGGGGGGACCAUCCUCCAAGGCUAAAUACUCCUGACUGACCGAUAGUGAACCAGUACCGUGAGGGAAAGGCGAAAAGAACCCCGGCGAGGGGAGUGAAAUAGAACCUGAAACCGUGUACGUACAAGCAGUGGGAGCACCUUCGUGGUGUGACUGCGUACCUUUUGUAUAAUGGGUCAGCGACUUAUAUUUUGUAGCAAGGUUAACCGUAUAGGGGAGCCGUAGGGAAACCGAGUCUUAACUGGGCGAAUAGUUGCAAGGUAUAGACCCGAAACCCGGUGAUCUAGCCAUGGGCAGGUUGAAGGUUGGGUAACACUAACUGGAGGACCGAACCGACUAAUGUUGAAAAAUUAGCGGAUGACUUGUGGCUGGGGGUGAAAGGCCAAUCAAACCGGGAGAUAGCUGGUUCUCCCCGAAAGCUAUUUAGGUAGCGCCUCGUGAACUCAUCUUCGGGGGUAGAGCACUGUUUCGGCUAGGGGGCCAUCCCGGCUUACCAAACCGAUGCAAACUCCGAAUACCGAAGAAUGUUAUCACGGGAGACACACGGCGGGUGCUAACGUCCGUCGUGAAGAGGGAAACAACCCAGACCGCCAGCUAAGGUCCCAAAGUCAUGGUUAAGUGGGAAACGAUGUGGGAAGGCACAGACAGCCAGGAUGUUGGCUUAGAAGCAGCCAUCAUUUAAAGAAAGCGUAAUAGCUCACUGGUCGAGUCGGCCUGCGCGGAAGAUGUAACGGGGCUAAACCAUGCACCGAAGCUGCGGCAGCGACGCUUAGGCGUUGUUGGGUAGGGGAGCGUUCUGUAAGCCGUUGAAGGUGGCCUGUGAGGGUUGCUGGAGGUAUCAGAAGUGCGAAUGCUGACAUAAGUAACGAUAAAGCGGGUGAAAAGCCCGCUCGCCGGAAGACCAAGGGUUCCUGUCCAACGUUAAUCGGGGCAGGGUGAGUCGACCCCUAAGGCGAGGCUGAAAAGCGUAGUCGAUGGGAAACAGGUUAAUAUUCCUGUACUUGGUGUUACUGCGAAGGGGGGACGGAGAAGGCUAGGCUAGCCGGGCGACGGUUGUCCCGGUUUAAGCGUGUAGGGGGUGUGACCUGGUAAAUCCGGUUGCAUACUAACCCUGAGGCGUGAUGACGAUGCACUACGGUGCAGAAGUAGUUGAUGCCCUGCUUCCAGGAAAAUCCUCUAAGCUCCAGGUAACAUUAAAUCGUACCCCAAACCGACACAGGUGGUCAGGUAGAGAAUACCAAGGCGCUUGAGAGAACUCGGGUGAAGGAACUAGGCAAAAUGGUGCCGUAACUUCGGGAGAAGGCACGCUGGCAUGUAGGUGAAGUCCCU